rnacentral:tRNA from 1 species
GUUUUAAUAAUUUAAAUAAAAUAUUGGUCUUGUAAAUCAAAAAUAAGAAAAUCUUUUAAAACU